rnacentral:rRNA from 1 species
UACGUAGGUGGCAAGCGUUGUCCGGAAUUAUUGGGCGUAAAGCGCGCGCAGGCGGCCUUUUAAGUCUGAUGUGAAAGCCCACGGCUCAACCGUGGAGGGUCAUUGGAAACUGGGGGGACUUGAGUGCAGAAGAGGAGAGUGGAAUUCCACGUGUAGCGGUGAAAUGCGUAGAGAUGUGGAGGAACACCGGUGGCGAAGGCGGCGACCUGGGUAGGAUAACUGACGCUGAGGUGCGAAAGCGUGGGGAGCAAACAGGG